UACGUAGGAGGCAAGCGUUGUCCGGAAUCACUGGGUGUAAAGGGUGCGCAGGCGGGAAGGUAAGUCAAUGGUGAAAUCUCACAGCUCAACUGUGAAACUGCCAUUGAUACUGCUUUUCUUGAGUUUGGGAGAGGGUGGUGGAAUUCUUGGUGUAGCGGUGAAAUGCGUAGAUAUCAUGAAGAUCCCCAGUGGCGAAGGCGGCCACCUGGCCCAUAACUGCCGCUCAUGCGCGAAAGCGUGGGGAUCAACCCGG
rnacentral:rRNA from 1 species